GACGAACGCUGGCGGCGUGCUUAACACAUGCAAGUCGAACGGAAAGGCCCUGCUUUUGUGGGGUGCUCGAGUGGCGAACGGGUGAGUAACACGUGAGUAACCUGCACUUGACUUUGGGAUAACUUCAGGAAACUGGGGCUAAUACCGGAUAGGAGCUCCUGCUGCAUGGUGGGGGUUGGAAAGUUUCGGCGGUUGGGGAUGGACUCGCGGCUUAUCAGCUUGUUGGUGGGGUAGUGGCUUACCAAGGCUUUGACGGGUAGCCGGCCUGAGAGGGUGACCGGGCACAUUGGGACUGAGAUACGGCCCAGACGCCUACGGGAGGCAGCAGUGGGGAAUAUUGCACAAUGGGCGGAAGCCUGAUGCAGCAACGCCGCGUGCGGGAUGACGGCCUUCGGGUUGUAAACCGCUUUCGCCUGUGACGAAGCGUGAGUGACGGUAAUGGGUAAAGAAGCACCGGCUAACUACGUG
rnacentral:rRNA from 1 species